rnacentral:tRNA from 1 species
UUAAAAGUGGCUGAAAAAGCAUUUAGUUGUUAUCUAAAAUAAUAAGAAAUAUUCUUCUUUUAAAG